rnacentral:tRNA from 1 species
GGAGACGUGGGUGAGUGGCUGAAACCAGCGGUUUGCUAAACCGCCGUACGGAGCAAUCCGUACCGAGGGUUCGAAUCCCUCCGUCUCCG